rnacentral:rRNA from 1 species
GAUGAACGCUGGCGGCGUGCUUAACACAUGCCAGUCGAACGGUGAAGGCGGAGCUUGCUCUGCUGGAUCAGUGGCGAACGGGUGAGUAACACGUGAGCAAUCUGCCCCUGACUCUGGGAUAAGCGCUGGAAACGGCGUCUAAUACUGGAUACGAGCUGCGAAGGCAUCUUCAGCAGCUGGAAAGAACUUCGGUCAGGGAUGAGCUCGCGGCCUAUCAGCUUGUUGGUGAGGUAACGGCUCACCAAGGCGUCGACGGGUAGCCGGCCUGAGAGGGUGACCGGCCACACUGGGACUGAGACACGGCCCAGACUCCUACGGGAGGCAGCAGUGGGGAAUAUUGCACAAUGGGCGAAAGCCUGAUGCAGCAACGCCGCGUGAGGGACGACGGCCUUCGGGUUGUAAACCUCUUUUAGCAGGGAAGAAGCGAAAGUGACGGUACCGGCAGAAAAAGCGCCGGCUAACUACGU